CGGCGGACGGGUGAGUAACACGUGGAUAACCUACCUAUAAGACUGGAAUAACUUCGGGAAACCGGAGCUAAUACCGGAUAAUAUUUUGAACCGCAUGGUUCAAAAGUAAAAGACGGUCUUGCUGUCACUUAUAGAUGGAUCCGCGCUGCAUUAGCUAGUUGGUAAGGUAACGGCUUACCAAGGCAACGAUGCAUAGCCGACCUGAGAGGGUGAUCGGCCACACUGGAACUGAGACACGGUCCAG
rnacentral:rRNA from 1 species